rnacentral:tRNA from 1 species
GCCAGCAUAGCUCAGUUGGUAGAGCACUUGACUUGUAAUCAUGAGGUCACGGGUUCGACUCCCGUCGCUGGCUCCA